rnacentral:rRNA from 1 species
ACGAACGCUGGCGGCGUGCCUAACACAUGCAAGUCAACUUGACUGAAGGAGCAAUCUGACAGUAGAGUGGCGCAAGGGUGCGUAACGCGUAAGUAACUUGCCCCAAGGUAAGGAAUAACGUCGAGAAAUCGGCGCUAAUACCUCAUAAUGCAGCGGAUCCGCAUGGAUAUGUUGUUAAAGGUUUACCGCCUUGGGAUAGGCUUGCGUCUGAUUAGUUAGUUGGUGUGGUAACGGCACACCAAGGCUACGAUCAGUAACUGGUCUGAGAGGAUGAUCAGUCACACUGGAACUAAGACACGGUCCAGACUCCUACGGGAGGCAGCAGUGAGGAAUAUUGGGCAAUGCUCGAAAGAGUGACCCAGCAACGCCGCGUGGAGGAUGAAGGUAUUCUAUAUCGUAAACUCCUGUGAGAGCAGACGAAAGACAGAUUAUUAAUCUGGAUGACUGUAUGCUCAGAGGAAGCCCCGGCUAACUACGUG